AGCUAAUGGAAGCAAGCCAGUAAGCAGUGCUCCUUCAUGGUCUCGGCUUCAGCUCCUGCCCCCAGGUUCCUGGCCUGGGUUCCCUUAACAAUGGACUAUAUCAUGCAAGCCAAUAGUUUGACUGCUCUGCAUCUCCUCUUCAGUUUCUCUGACCUGCUGAAGGCUUGCCAUUCAUCAGCACUCCAGGCCUGUAGGCUGAAGAUGGAUUCCCCAACAAUGAAGAGGAACCUUGAGUGACUAUCCAGGCAGCCAGCUGCUUCUGUCAUUUCUAUAAUUUUGGAAGUUGUUUGCCCUGCAAUUCCUGUUUACUCAGAAGUCUCUAAACCCAGAUUGGCCUGGAACCAAGAACAACCUUGAACCCCUGAACUUCAGGAUACCAUCUUCCCACUGUCAGUUAUGGAAUUACAGACUAGUACCACCAUG